AGCCCGGUAGUGUAGCGGUCAAAGAUUAUUUAUGUUUUCGACUAAGCAUAUGGGGCUUUGGACCCCACGACAGGAGUUCGAAUCUCCUCCGGGCUACCA
rnacentral:tRNA from 1 species